rnacentral:tRNA from 1 species
UAGCUCAGUCGAUAGAGCAUGAGACUCUUAAUCUCAGGGUUGUGGGUUCAUGCCCCAC